GGGCCUUAGCUCAGCUGGGAGAGCGCCUGCCUUGCACGCAGGAGGUCACCGGUUCGAUCCCGG
rnacentral:tRNA from 1 species